AUGGCCCAGAAGGUGGUGCUGAGGAUUCCCACCAUGACCGACGACAAGACCAAGCAGAAAGCCAUGGAGGCCGUCGCCGACAUCUACGGUAUCGACUCGAUAGCCGCAGACCUCAAGGACAACAAGAUGACCGUCAUCGGUGCUAUGGACACGGUGGCCAUCGCCAAGAGGCUCAAGAAGCUCGGCAAGAUCGACAUCGUCUCGGUCGGGCCGGCAAAGGAGGAGAAGAAGCCGGCGCCGGCUGCGGAGAAGAAGGGCGAGGUUAAGAAGGAUGACAAGAAAGAGGAGAAGAAAGACGACAAGAAGUGA
rnacentral:rRNA from 1 species